GAUGAACGCUAGCUACAGGCUUAACACAUGCAAGUCGAGGGGUAACGAGAGGAAAGCUUGCUUUCCUUGUCGACGACCGGCGCACGGGUGAGUAACGCGUAUCCAACCUGCCCCCAACUAGGGAAUAACCUUGCGAAAGUAAGACUAAUACCCUAUAAUUUCCUCAGAUGUCAUCUGACGAGGAAUAAAGAUUUAUCGGUUGUGGAUGGGGAUGCGGCUGAUUAGCUUGUUGGCGGGGUAACGGCCCACCAAGGCAACGAUCAGUAGGGGUUCUGGGAGGAAGGUCCCCCACAUUGGAACUGAGACACGGUCCAACGCCUACGGGAGGCAGCAGUGAGGAAUAUUGGUCAAUGGGCGGAAGCCUGAACCAGCCAAGUAGCGUGCAGGAUGACGGCCCUAUGGGUUGUAAACUGCUUUUAUACAGGAAUAAAGUUAGCCACGUGUGGUUAUUUGUAGGUACUGUAUGAAUAAGGACCGGCUAAUUCCGUGCCAGCAGCCGCAGUAA
rnacentral:rRNA from 1 species